AUUUCUGUUCUGUCACCCAACCAUCUAUUUUACAGCCAAAAUUCACAGUAAAUAAAAUCAAAAAACAAUAAAAAUAAACCGAAAGAAUUGCAGGCAAGAAAAAAGAAGAAUGGCUAUUAAGUUAGAAUAGUUCCGUCGGAGAACACAAACAUCUGGAAGUCGUAUCAUGAGGUGGGCCCGCUUGACGCUGGUAAUCUUCUUCAUUGCGCUGUGUCUCCUACAACUGGCCUCCGGUUGUGGCAACAAACGCGUUACUUGCGGUGAGAACCCACCGUGCAAGAAGUAAAUCUGAUUGGUUCCUCAGGCGAUGGACACUGAGCUCCUCCAAGAAGUCGUGGUGCUGGUGGUGACGCUGCUGCUGUCGUACCUAGAGUCGUGCUUCGGCUGCACGCGCCACGAGUACGUGACCUGCCACGAGAACAGCCCCAACUGUGACAAGAAGUGAUCUGUUUUUAAGAUGCUGUACCUGAACGAGUUUGUGUUGCUCCUCCUCCACAUCGCAGUAUCAGUGAUGGACCUCAAGCACUUUGGCGAAAGGAAGCAGUUGACCAAAAGUUGUGACAAGAGCAAGAAGAGAACUAACCGCCUGGCCAACGCGAUUUAUAUUAAGAAAUAGAAGCACCUGCAACCUCAUGUUAUUCCCAGUCGUAUAAUCGUAAACGUAUCACCAUGCUCGUGGAGAAAGUGCUGAUAGUUCUGCUGCAAGUGUGCUUCUGGCUGGUGGAGGUGGCGGGCUGCCGGCGCAAGAGCCGUAUUCCCGAGUACUGCCUGCCCUGCACGUAUAAAGGACCGUACAUCGAAGUUGUGUCGCCUAAACCGAAAAAACACCAGAACACGUUCUACAGAACCCAACAAUGAUGCUUCAAGUUCUCCUGCUGUGCUGCGCGUGGAUCGCUCGAGUCGCCGGCUGCAAGCGACUGAGGCAGAGCCGCUGUCCCGACACCUGCCUGCCUUGCAACUAUAAGGGGCCUAUCAUUGAAGUGAUUUAUCCGAAACCUUCAGAAUGAGAUGGAAGCCCGAACCCAGUCCUGGUGUACACCAAGCCGCCUCCUGCGCCAGAGUGCUGACGUCAUGCGACGUACGCCGCUUACUGCGCGAGCGCAUCACACGUGUAGUGAACUUGAGAACCAUGUUUGUUUUUAAUAGUCAAUGAA